rnacentral:rRNA from 1 species
GAUCUCAAAUCAAGUAAGACUACCCGCUGAACUUAAGCAUAUCAAUAAGCGGAGGAAAAGAAACUAACAAGGAUUCCCCUAGUAACGGCGAGUGAAGCGGGAUGAGCUCAAAUUUAAAAUCUGGCUGGUUUACUAGUCCGAGUUGUAGUUUAAAGAAGCGUUUUCGGUGGCAGUCUCGGUAAAAGUCCUUUGGAAUAGGGCAUCACAGAGGGUGAGAAUCCCGUCUUUGACUGAGAAUAUGCUACUAUGUGAUACGUUUUCAAAGAGUCGAGUUGUUUGGGAAUGCAGCUCAAAAUGGGUGGUAAAUUUCAUCUAAAGCUAAAUAUUGGCGAGAGACCGAUAGCGAACAAGUACCGUGAGGGAAAGAUGAAAAGAACUUUGAAAAGAGAGUUAAACAGUGCGUGAAAUUGUUGAAAGGGAAACGCUUGAAACCAG